rnacentral:lncRNA from 1 species
CCGCUCGGUCGCUACGUAGCGACCGAGCCCGAGCCAAGCUCGGUCGCUACGUAGCGACCGAGCGAUCGACUCCCUAAACCCAGCGCACUGGUCUCUAACAUCUCAAAGGCAUGAUAUCAAAAGAUAAGAGAUUCUUAAACCACGCCUCUGUGUUUACGUUCGAUACCUUCAGCGCCCCCGCAAAGUUCACAUCUCGCGGAAGAACUCUCGAAACAGGUCUCGAAUAAAACAUUUCACAAUCGAAGAAGGAUAUGAGACGACAACUCAUCACCUUCCUCCCCACUAUUCACAAAUUCGUAAAAAACGAUAUCCGAUUAUCAUACCAUAAAGCCGCGGAGCGGCAGGGAUUCAAAGCCACAUACGGCCAGUCCCGAAAUACAAACAAGGCCGUUCAAGGCCGAAGCAUAAAGACAUAAAAAAAAAAAAAAGACAAAUCUCUCGCAAGAGAUCUAGCCCAAGUCACCCUCAGAACCUACGCUCCCUCUUCACCCGCCGCCUCGUCCGAACCUGGAGCCGCAUCGCUUCCGUUCUCUCCGACCAUCGGAUCUUUCCCCUCUGGGUCUUCUGAACACGUCGGAAGGAAGCAAGCGGAUUUCAGGUCGGCCAGGAUGAGACCGAAAUCGCCAUCCUCGGCCGCCAUAUCUCCCUUGCAGCCGGACAGUCGGGCCUCUUCGGCCUCUAAGGUCGGGGGAGUCUCACUUUGGAACGACCGAACCACGGCCAUCCCGCCCUCAAUCGUCGCCAAAGUGAAAUCCCUGCUCCGGAUACACUCGAGGGAACCCAGGAAAGCAGAAAUCUUCGCCAAGCGAGCCUGAAACUCCGCACGAAGGGCAUCCGUAGCUUCUUGGAUCCCGCGGCGCGCUAGCCCAGCGUCACUCUCGAUCUGACGCUGGAGUCGACGCACCUCCGAGGAUUUGGCCUUCCUGGCUUUCUUUUCCUUAAGCAAGGAACUCGCCGUCUUCCCGAGGUCCAUCUCAAGCACUCCUAUCGCAACCUCGAGCUUCGACACUUUCGCAGAGUGAGAGUCCUCGACAGCCGUCAACAUAGCCUCGGUUUCGGACCAUCUGCCCUGAAGCUCCACCAACUCCCCGGAAAGACGACUGGUCUCAGAACCACAUUCGCUGAUCAUCCCAUCGAUCAACGAUAUGAACUGCGAACGGUAAAAAUUCUUAAGACUAAGUCCAUGAAAAGAAUGCACGAAAGACAAUCGAGAAUUCAAACAAGAAACAAACCUUUCCGCGAAGCCCCGAUGCUAGGCUCGACCCAUCUCGCUGCGAAGUCUCCCCGUCACCGCUCUUGGCCAGUUUCCUCUUCCGACUCUUGGGCUGAGUAGCCUGGACAGCGCUAGGAGCACGCAAUGCCAGAACGAUUUCUUUUCUGGCUGGAGGCGGAGGCAUAGAGUCAGCGGCCUUCUCCUUGUCCUCGACGAAGAUCGGAGUCGUGGAAGAUCCCGCAGGUAGGACUUGCGGGGGAGGAGCCGCGACCCCGGUCCCAUGACACGGGACAACGACCUGCGCGGAGGAAGACGGAAACUCGGAGCCAGUCUGAGCCAAUUCUUUCUCGGCUUGGCGACGAACUAGUUUCUCUCGGAAAGAAAGGUGACCGGCAACACAAGCCGGCACUUCCGUCGGAGAAGUUGGAACCGGAGCCGGAGAAGAGGCCUCGCCCAUUUCGACGUCGGAAACCUUCUUAUCACCUUGGGAGGAAGACAUGUUGAAAGGAAAGUUAUGAAACUAGAGAGGUUUUUGAAGAAAAUGAAGGAGGAAAGGUGUGAAGAAAAUGAAUGACAAGAGCUCACUACUUAUAGAAGUAUGGGUUCGGAAUGUCGCCUCGACAACUUUUUUCCGCGGAGUUUCAACUGUAAAUUUCGUCCAAUACACUUAACCUUGACAAAGCCAUCUAUCCGCCGCUAGAGUCACAACUCUAACGGGCUGGGGGCUAACUGUUGGGGUCAAAAACGGUUACGACAAAUUUAACAGUUCAAAACGUCCGAAGAAGAAAAUAAGAGUUUCUCCGAAGAGUACUUUUCGAAAUAGAUUCUUCCUUACGAAAAAGCUUGGCGGAAGAAAGAAUCGAGAUGUCCGACGAAAGCUCGAAAAAGGGUCGUUACACAGCGACGAACGUCCGUCCCGCUCGGUCGCUACGUAGCGACCGAGCGAUCGUCCCGCUCGGUCGCUACGUAGCGACCGAGCGAUCGUCCCGCUCGGUCGCUACGUAGCGACCGAGCCCGAGCCAAGCUCGGUCGCUACGUAGCGACCGAGCGAUCGUCCCGCUCGGUCGCUACGUAGCGACCGAGCUCGAGCCAAGCUCGGUCGCUACGUAGCGACCGAGCGAUCGUCCCGCUCGGUCGCUACGUAGCGACCGAGCUCGAGCCAAGCUCGGUCGCUACGUAGCGACCGAGCGAUCGUCCCGCUCGGUCGCUACGUAGCGACCGAGCGAUCGUCCCGCUCGGUCGCUACGUAGCGACCGAGCUCGAGCCAAGCUCGGUCGCUACGUAGCGACCGAGCGAUCGUCCCGCUCGGUCGCUACGUAGCGACCGAGCUCGAGCCAAGCUCGGUCGCUACGUAGCGACCGAGCGAUCGUCCCGCUACGUAGCGACCGAGCGAUCGUCCCGCUCGGUCGCUACGUAGCGACCGAGCUCGAGCCAAGCUCGGUCGCUACGUAGCGACCGGGCUCGAGCCAAAGUCGGUCGCGUGUAGCGAUUGAACCUUUCCGAACAUCGAUACGACACCAGUCCUUGCAUUCUCGUCAAACCUUCGAAUGCUAUCUCCCGAAGACCGUAGCAAGCUCAGUCCAUGUUUCCCGCUAUUCUAAAUCAUCGAUCAAACUUCGAUUAGAAACCGCGGAAAACUCGUAGUAAACGUGUCGAGUCGGAAGACGGCCCAAAGGGACCUAAAACACGACUCGAGGCCCAUCCUACGAUUUUUCCUAACCAAAAGCCCGUGAACCACAGCAUGGUUCACGCUUGGCCCACGAGGAAGGAUAAAUGUCAAGUUUCCGCGGAUAAAUACGGAAGUUUUGAAGAUAAUUGUGAAGAUCGGGAAAAAUGGAAUAUCUCCAUUUUUUGCUAUGACGGCUUAAGGGCAGAAGAGUAAAAGCGUAAACCGACCUUGGAGCUAGUAUAUAAGGAGUCCUAGGCGAGGAGCAGAAGGACUUUUUCAGAGCAAACUUAGCACUUAGAGCAUUUAGGCAACUUUCCGUUUUUGUUAUUUCGAGCUGCGACUCAAUUAGGUUUAGCCGUCUUAGGGUUGCUAGAACUAGGAUUCUCGCCGACAGCUCUCGAGCCCAGGCUUAUACCUUGUUGUAACGCUCAUACGCAGAUUCGGAAUAAGAUCUACUUUGCUCUCUUUUCGAUUUCUUAUUUUUAUCGUUGUUAUUCUCGUGUUCUAAUUGCUUGACGUGUGGUAAUUAACAGAUAUCCGGGUCCUCUGGGAAACUAGGGUUUUCUUAGUUUCCUUAUUUAAACGGAAAUCGACAGUGUGAAUUUUGGUUCCCACAGUUUGGCGCUAGAAGGAGGGGGGCUUACGGAUCAAUCUAACCCGCAAAAACAACUCAACGAUCAGGAACGACAUGCGGGAUUCGACGUGCGCGAAUGUCAUCUCAUUCAAGGGGGGAGAAACGGUCGAUCGAGCCAAACCUCGGAACGAUCUCCUUGUUAUCGAGUUGACAAUUCGAGAUAUCGACGUCGCUAGAGUACUAAUCGAUACCGGAAGCUCGGCCGAUAUCAUCUUCAAAGACACUCUUGAAAAGAUGGGGAUCAGUCAAUCCGAGAUCGCAAAAUGCCCAAGCCCACUGCUAGGGCUUUCGGGGGAAACGACCAUGGCCUAUGGAUCGAUUAGACUCGCUGUCAAAGCCGGAACCGUGACAAACAUCACAGAGUUUCUAGUCGUUGACCGCCCCGCAUCUUACAACGUUAUCAUGGGAACGCCAUGGCUGAACACCAUGCGCGCAAUCCCAUCAACCUACCAUCUUUGCCUCAAGUUCCCGACCCCAACGGAGUCGAGGUAAUCUGGGGAAAUCCAAGAGUUUCACAGGUCUGUUUCGCCGCGGAACUAAAACGAAAGAGACCGAUCCUCGAAAUUACUCCUAAGAAAGCGGAGAAAAAGACCUCCAGCAAAGAUACGCGAAGUCAGGAUUCAGCGGAAUUCUUCUGGCAAUCUCGUAUCUUCGCAGCUCUAGACGAAAAACGCGAGCCAACUUGUGAACCCGUGGUAACGAUCUGUCUCGACGAAGCCUUCCCAGAACGCUGCGUCGAGAUUGGAGCCAAUCUCCACGAGCCUUUAAAGACAGAACUCAUAACCUGUCUUAAAAAGAACCUUAACACUUUCGCAUGGGCUGCGGAAGAUAUGCCAGGGAUUGACAUUAACAUAACAUGUCACGAGCUGAAUAUCGAUCCAACAUUCAAACCCGUCAAACAGAAAAGACGGAAGCUGGGACCCGAACGUGCUACCGCAGUAAACGAUGAGGUCGAAAAACUGCUUAAAGUUGGGUCGAUAACAGAAGUAAGAUACCCGGACUGGCUCGCCAACCCCGUAGUAGUCAAAAAGAAAAACGGGAAAUGGCGAGUUUGCGUAGAUUUUACCGACCUAAACAAGGCAUGUCCAAAGGAUAGCUUCCCUCUACCACAUAUCGAUCGAUUGGUAGAAGCAACGGCGGGCAACGAACUCUUAUCCUUCAUGGAUGCUUUCUCAGGUUAUAAUCAAAUUAGGAUGAAUCCCGACGAUCGUGAGAAGACUGCGUUCAUUACCGAUCGCGGAACCUAUUGCUAUGAGGUAAUGCCCUUCGGCCUCAAAAACGCUGGAGCAACUUACCAACGACUCGUGAACCGAAUGUUCUCCAAACAACUCGGAAAAACGAUGGAAGUUUAUAUCGACGACAUGCUUGUCAAAUCCCUCAAAGCAAGAGAUCACGUGUCACAUCUCGAAGAAUGCUUUGCACAACUAAACUCCCAUAACAUGAAGCUCAACCCGACGAAAUGUAGAUUCGCCGUGGCAUCAGGAGAAUUCCUCGGCUACUUGGUCACCAACUGCGGUAUCGAAGCAAAUCCAAAACAGAUCAACGCUCUAAUCGAGAUGGCUUCGCCGAAGAAUAAACGGGAAGUCCAAAGACUGACCGGCAGAAUCGCAGCACUUAACCGAUUUAUUUCACGAUCAACAGAUAAGUGCCUGCCCUUCUACGACGUCCUGCGAGGAAUAAAAAGUUCGAAUGGACGGAAGAGUGCGAAAACGCCUUCCAACAGCUGAAGCGUUAUUUAGCUACUCCUCCAGUCCUCGCAAAACCCGUGGAAGGGGAGCCUUUAUUCUUAUACAUCGCGGUAUCGGCAACAGCCGUAAGCGGAGUCCUGAUCAGGGAAGAACGCGGGGAGCAGAGAACCUAUUUUUUACAUAAGCAAAACCUUGCUGGAUGCCGAAUCUAGGUAUCCGUUGAUGGAAAAAUUGGCAUGCGCGGUCGUAACAUCGGCCCGAAAACUACGACCAUAUUUCCAAUCCCACACGAUUGUUAUCCUCACGACUUUUCCCUUACGGACAAUUUUGCAUAGCCCAAGUCAAUCAGGCCGAUUGGCUAAGUGGGCGGUCGAGUUGAGUGAGUAUGACAUCGAAUACCGACCAAGAACGAGCGCAAAAUCACAAGUGCUCGCGGACUUUUUGGUCGAACUUCCAACGGGAGCAAUAACCAACGAGGAACCAAAUUCCACCUGGCUCCUCCACGUCGACGGAUCUUCAUCCAAGCAAGGAUCGGGUAUCGGGAUCCGUCUCACAUCUCCAACGAGCGAGAUCCUAGAACAAUCGUUCAGACUGGAAUUCCAUGCUUCAAACAACGAGGCCGAAUACGAAGCAUUGAUCGCAGGUCUACGUUUGGCUCACGGCUUAAAAAUACGUAAUCUCCACGCUUACUGCGACUCCCAGUUAGUGGCCAGUCAAUUCAGCGGAGAAUAUGAAGCCAGAGAUGAACGGAUGGACGCGUACCUCAAACUGGUCCAAGGUCUAGCUCAAGACUUUGACUGUUUCGCCCUUACCCGGAUCCCCCGUUCCGAAAAUGUCCAGGCGGACGCCCUCGCGGCCUUAGCAUCAAGUCCCGAUCCAGGACUCAAAAGGGUAAUUCCGGUCGAAUUCAUCGAACAUCCGAGUAUCGGACCGCCAGUCGUUGUCAAUCUCAUAGAGGGUCAAGACGACGAGGAAGAAGAGAUUACGAUACCACCACCAUCGGAGCAAUCCGAUUACGGUUGUGAUACCCCAUGGCUUCAGACGAUUCGAGACUACAUUAUCGACGGGCAACUGCCCGCCGAAAAAUGGUCAGCUCGCAAGAUCCGAACACAAGCCGCACGCUACGUAACAGUGGACGGCGAAAUCUACAAGUGGAGAUUCUCCGGACCACUCCUUGACGUGCCUGGAAGGAGAAAAGGCGAGGAAAGUAAUGGAGGAAAUACAUUCCGGCUCAUGCGGCAACCAUUCCGGCGGAAGAUCACUAGCCGUGAAAAUCAAACGCCAUGGGUACUAUUGGCCAACAAUGAUCGGAGAUUGCGAGAAAUUCGCACGAAAAUGCGAAAAAUGCCAAAGGCAUGCGCCAACUAUCCGACAACCGGCCGAAGUUCUUUCCUCCAUCACAUCGCCCUAUCCCUUUAUGCGCUGGGCCAUGGAUAUUGUCGGACCUCUGCAUAAUUCAAAGCAAAAGCGGUUUCCUUCUAGUGCUUACCGAUUUCUUCUCAAAAUGGGUAGAGGCCGACUCGUACGCGAGUAUAAAAGACGUCCAAGUCGAGAAUUUCGUAUGGAGAAACAUCAUCUGUAGGCAUGGAGUUCCUUACGAAAUCGUAACCGAUAACGGGUCUCAAUUCAUUUCCACCCGAUUCGAGGCAUUCUGCGAAAAGUGGAAGAUACGACUCAACAAGUCAACUCCCAGAUAUCCGCAGUGCAACGGACAGGCUGAAACAAUCAACAAGACCAUUCUCGACGGACUGAAGAAACGCUUGGAGGCCAAAAAAGGUAGAUGGGCCGACGAACUCGAGGGAGUCCUCUGGUCUCACCGUACCACCCCAAGGCGAGCAACGGGAGAAACUCCCUUCGCCUUGGUAUACGGGACGGAGUGCAUGAUUCCCGCAGAAGUAGAAUUUCCCGGUGUUCGAAGAAGGUUCUUACCCGAACGAGAGGAACUCAACAAUGCUAUGCUCUUGGACGAUCUCGACCUCAUUAACGAACGCCGGGAUCGAGCGCUCAUCCGAAUUCAAAACUACCAGCACGCCGCUGCAAGAUACUAUAAUUCCAACGUACGGAAUCGUAGGUUCAAUCAGGGAGAUCUGGUCCUUCGCAAAGUUUUCCAAAACACCGCUGAACGAAACGCGGGAAAACUCGGAGCAAACUGGGAAGGUCCCUAUAAAAUCGAAAAAGUCGUCCGACCAGGUUCUUACGAAAUAGCCAACAUGCAGGGCGUAAAAAUCCCUAGAACCUGGAAUGCGAUGCAUCUCAAAAAAUACUAUCACUAAACGAACCAACUCGCAAUCACUGAACUACGAGACGGCUUGAUCUCCGCAAGGAGUACGUAGGCAGUUUGCCGAAAGGCAAAUUCAGCUGUCCCCCCUCAUUAAAAAAGGGGGGGAGUGGGUACGUAUACUCGUAUACCACCAAAAAAAAAUCGAAAAAACUUCUUACCGCACUCUUGGUGUUUUCGACUUAUCGAAACAUCCUCACCCGUGAAACCACACGAGGUCUUCGGAAAUUAUUCGGCCGCUUGGGAGAAUCAAACCUUUAGCAUCGCGAGACGUCGCAAAAGAUGCCUCAAAGAUGGUUUCUUCCGAGCAAACGAAAUCUCCACAAAAAACACAUAUAUGCACACAUUAACAUUUAUUUUGCGCAAAUUAAUCAAAACAACGGCACACGCCACCAAGUCCGAUGCUGAUCACAUCGAACUCACAAACGUCCUAAACAGACAUAGCCAUCUCAUGAAGAUGACUCUCUUACAUCCGACACAAGGAUAAUAGCGCUAUAAAAGAAAUCCGAAAUUUUGGUCCAGCACUUCCGGUCUCCGGAGAGAUGCUCGAUUCGUAUCAAACAAGUCGUAUAAGCCGAGAACUUUUCGCGGACUUUACAUCGAUACGAAUCAGGAAGAAAUCGCGACAGGAAAAACGAUAGCCGGUUAGUCGCCGCACAAUCCUUAAACCGAAAGUAAACCUAGGUCUUGCCCUAAACCCAGCGCACUGGUCUCUAACAUCUCAAAGGCAUGAUAUCAAAAGAUAAGAGAUUCUUAAACCACGCCUCUAUGUUUACGUUCGAUACCUUCAGCGCCCCCGCAGAGUUCACAUCUCGCGGAAGAACUCUCGAAACAGGUCUCGAAUAAAACAUUUCACAAUCGAAGAAGGAUAUGAGACGACAACUCAUCACCUUCCUCCCCACUAUUCACAAAUUCAUAAAAAACGUUAUCCGAUUAUCAUACCAUAAAGCCGCGGAGCGGCAGGGAUUCAAAGCCACACACGGCCAGUCCCGAAAUACAAACAAGGCCGUUCAAGGCCGAAGCAUAAAGACAUAAAAAAAAAACAAAUCUCUCGCAAGAGAUCUAACCCAAGUCACCCUCAGAACUUACGCUCCCUCUUCACCCGCCGCCUCGUCCGAACCUGGAGCCGCGUCGCUUCCGUUCUCUCCGACCAUCGGAUCUUUCCCCUCUGGGUCUUCUGAACACGUCGGAAGGAAGCAAGCGGAUUUUAGGUCGGCCAGGAUGAGACCGAAAUCGCCAUCCUCGGCCGCCAUAUCUCCCUUGCAGCCGGACAGUCGGGCCUCUUCGGCCUCCAAGGUCGGGGGAGUCUCACUUUGGAACGACCGAACCACGGCCAUCCCGCCCUCAAUCGUCGCCAAAGCGAAAUCCCUGCUCCGGAUACACUCGAGGGAACCCAGG